UGGGGAAUAUUGCGCAAUGGGCGAAAGCCUGACGCAGCAACGCCGUGUGAGGGAUAAAGGCUUUCGGGUCGUAAACCUCUGUCGGAAGGGAAGAACGGGUGAGGGUCUAAUAGGCCUUCAUUUUGACGGUACCUUUAGAGGAAGCACCGGCUAACUCCGUGCCAGCAGCCGCGGUAAUACGGAGGGUGCAAGCGUUAUUCGGAAUUACUGGGCGUAAAGCGCACGUAGGCCGCUUUGUAAGUCAGGGGUGAAAUCCCACGGCUCAACCGUGGAACUGCCCUUGAAACUGCAGAGCUUGAAUCCUGGAGAGGGUGGCGGAAUUCCUGGUGUAGGAGUGAAAUCCGUAGAUAUCAGGAGGAACACCGGUGGCGAAGGCGGCCACCUGGACAGGCAUUGACGCUGAGGUGCGAAAGUGUGGGGAGCAAACAG
rnacentral:rRNA from 1 species